GGGUCCAUAGUGUAGCAGUUAUCACAUCUGGUUUACACGCAGAAGGUACUGGGUUUGUGCCCCAGUGGAGC
rnacentral:tRNA from 1 species